rnacentral:rRNA from 1 species
UACGGGGGGAGCAAGCGUUGUUCGGAAUUACUGGGCGUAAAGGGCUUGUAGGCGGUCCGUUAAGUCCGAUGUGAAAUCUCCCGGCUCAACUGGGAGAGGUCAUUGGGUACUGGCGGACUAGAGGGAGGUAGAGGAAAGCAGAAUUCCUGGUGUAGCGGUGAAAUGCGUAGAUAUCAGGAGGAAUACCAGUGGCGAAGGCGGCUUUCUGGGCCUACCCUGACGCUGAGGAGCGAAAGCGUGGGGGAGCAAACCGG